rnacentral:rRNA from 1 species
GAGAUAGAGCUUCCCCUUCGGGGGCAAAGUGACAGGUGGUGCAUGGUUGUCGUCAGCUCGUGUCGUGAGAUGUUGGGUUAAGUCCCGCAACGAGCGCAACCCUUAUUGUUAGUUGCCAUCAUUUAGUUGGGCACUCUAGCGAGACUGCCGGUGACAAACCGGAGGAAGGUGGGGAUGACGUCAAAUCAUCAUGCCCCUUAUGACCUGGGCUACACACGUGCUACAAUGGGAAGUACAACGAGUUGCGAAGUCGCGAGGCUAAGCUAAUCUCUUAAAGCUUCUCUCAGUUCGGAUUGUAGGCUGCAACUCGCCUACAUGAAGCCGGAAUCGCUAGUAAUCGCGGAUCAGCACGCCGCGGUGAAUACGUUCCCGGGCCUUGUACACACCGCCCGUCACACCACGAGAGUUUGUAACACCCGAAGUCGGUGAGGUAACCUUUUUGGAGCCAGCCGCCUAAGGUGGGAUAGAUGAUUGGGGUGAAGUCGUAACAAGGUAGCCGUAUC